rnacentral:lncRNA from 1 species
UGCCUCCAGCUUUGUUCUUCUGGCUUAGGAUUGACUUGGCGAUGUGGGCUCUUUUUUGGUUCCAUAUGAACUUUAAAGUAGUUUUUUCCAAUUCUGUGAAGAAAGUCAUUGGUAGCUUGAUGGGGAUGGCAUUGAAUCUAUAAAUUACCUUGAGCAGUAUGGCCAUUUUCACAAUAUUGAUUCUUUCUACCCAUGAGCAUGGAAUGUUCUUCCAUUUGUUUGUAUCCUCUUUUAUUUCCUUGAGCAGUGGUUUGUAGUUCUCCUUGAAGAGGUCCUUCACAUCCCUUGUAAGUUGGAUUCCUAGGUAUUUUAUUCUCAUAAAAGAAAAUUUUUAUCUUUUAUCAUAGAACUACAACUUUGGUUAAACAAUGUAUGUAGCUGAUUAUAUUCUUUUGACAAUUCUAUCAAAUUUCCAAGAGUUAUAGUUUUCUCCCCUCCCCCAAGACAUUUGGAGAGCACAUGGACAUCUGUGUCCCGGCCUCACGGUACCUCCCUCAUCCCCAUGGAAAGAGGAAGAUGAGAGAAGGGAGGGAGGCCUUUGGCAGCCAAGGGAAGACAAGUUUCAGGAGUUCAUGAAGCACCAUCCCCCACCCCCAGUGAAGACCCUACCAGAAGGUCUUAUGUUCUGAGCUAUAUUGAGUGACUGCCUCAUUACCACUCCCUACUGUUAUGUGGCAAGUGUCAGGGCUGUGGCAAGGGUCAGGCUAUCAUCAUUGGCCCCUUCAAUAGACUGACCCUAGCAUUAGGGCAACCAUAAGUCCCUGUGUGCCCAAGACAAUCCUAGUUUACAUCUGAGGCCCCAGUGUCACUAUUAAUAGUGACCUCCUUUCACUCUCAAAGUUGUUCCAGUUUGGGCAAUGAAUUAUAUGAUCAAAGGCCCCAUCUCCUUUCAUCUGUCUGUCUCUCUUUUUUUCCCUUCCAUAGAGAUUUUAUCCAUCCCCACAGCUUAAAAUUCUUUCCCUCUGAAGAUAACUACUGAAUUUUCAUCUCUGUCUUUUUGCCCUGAGUCCACAAUUUCCGCUUGGAUACUGAAACAGUCACCCUCUCAGUGCUGGUGGAAAUGACACAAACUGACAAGUAUUUAUUUAGCCUCAUUCCCAUCACUCACCACUGCCACCCAGAAAAGUGUCACCUGAGUAUUUAUUGCAUGCAGCCCCAACACUAAAGAAAGAUCAGAAAUAUUUGUUCCCGUGGUGGAAAAUAAAGGGCUAUUUGCCCACGUCGCCAGGCUUCCUCUGGAAAGCAUCUGGGAAUCAUUCCAGAAAUUCAAUUUCCAGGUGUGUGUUUCUUUAAGGAAAUAUUGUGGAGUAGAGAAGGAACGCACUGUGCAGGUGCCAUUGGCUGUGGGCGUUGCUAUGGCAGAUCAGCCUUAUUACUGAAUAGCAAAGGAAGGAGUCACCAGGAAAACACAACAUGAACAGGCAGAGUGCACACGCCGUGGCCUCGGGAAGCCACAAUCAUGUGGCUGACAUGGUUCCAGAGUGUGGCAUUAGGGAGACCAACUUCUGAGCUGCAGAUUCACAGCAUGGCCAUGCAGGCAGGGAAGAUGUGCUCUACUCCAGGAUCAAGGAGCAAGCCCAUAUUUCCUCUUGAUUCUGGGACUCCCUCUUGAGACUGAUUUGCUCUAAUGUUAGCUCUUGAGAGAACUGGGGUCCCUGCCUUCUUGGGGAGCCUGAAAAGAAGUUUUGCUGUCUGGGCAUCACAGCAUCCAGAGUGUACAGGAGACAGGUCAGCAGCUGCGGUCAGCAGAGGCACACACGCCAGCCCCUGGAGAUGGGUGGCUUGUCCUGAGCCAAAGCUGGGCUGGUUUAUAAACAGCACCUGUGAAAAGAAGAGGGAUGACUCCAGUGGGACAUUCCUGAACCAUGUGCACCUAUUCACCUAGGAGAAGGAAUGGCUGGAGUUGCAUCUAUCUUUCUGUUUAUGAAAUAUGGGCCCAACUCCAGCGACAACAUAAUUUUUAGACCAUUUAGUGGAAUAAUAAAAGUCAAAAGAGGAAAGAGAACUUACAUGGAUUGAACACCCACUGCAUGCUUAGCUCUCUGCUAGGUGCAUUACAGAAAAGAGCUUAUUGAAUUCUUACGCAAACCCUUGAGGAUGAAUGGCCGCUCACCUGGAGUCUUGAUAGCCAGGUGAUGCAGAUUUAGGAGAAGAAGUCCACCUCAGGUCAGGUUUCCCCAAAGGCAGAUCCUGAGAUGAGGAAUCCAGGACCUAUCACUUACUUGGGAGAGGCAGAGUUUCCUUAUGUUGCCCAGGCUGGCCUCAAAGUCCUGACCUCUAGCCAUCCUCCUGCCUUGGCCUCCCAAAGUGCAGGAAUUACAGGUGAGAGCCCCUACACCUGGUCAUUACUUCAUCUUUUUAUGCUGAAUUUUCCUCAUCUGUAAAACUGGGUGAAAUAAUAUUAAACGUGUUAUAGAACUGCUGUGAGAGUUCAAUGAGAUAAUUCUUGUAUCACAGUAUCUGACACAGCAUGAACACUAAAUAAAUUCUGGCUAAUAUUCUCACUCAUUCUACAAAUAUUUAUUGAGUAUUUUCUGUGUGCCAGGCCCUGUUUCAGGCACCAGUGAUACACCAAUGAAUUGAGAUAGAUUCAAUCUAAUUUGUCAUAAAAUUUAGAUUCUAUUGUCUUAAAGACAGACAAUAAACAAGAAAAUAAGUUGAUAACUAACCAUUAUCAUUUCAGGUAAUAAUACGGUUUGGAUGUGUGUCCCCUGUGAAUCUCAUGUUGAAAUGUAAUCCCCCAUGUUGGAGGUGGGACCUGUUGGGAGGUGACUGGAUCAUGGAGGCAGAUUUCUCAUGACUGUCUAAGAAUCCCCCUAGUGACGAGUGAGUUCUCCCUCAGUUAGUUCACGUGAGAUCUGCUUGUUUAAGAGUCUGGGACCUCCCUCUUCUCUCUUCUUGCCCCCACAUCUCACCAUGUGACGCACCUGCUCUCCCUGUGCCUUCCACCAUGAUUGGACGCUUCCUGAGGCCCUCACCAGGAGCAGAUCCCAGCACCAUGCUUCCUGUCCAGCCUGCAGAACUGAGAGCCAAUUAAACCUCUUUUCUUAAUAAAUUACCCAGCCUCAGGAUGUUAUCGCAUGUUAGUAUGCCAAUGGGAUGAACCACAAGAAAUAGGAAAAUCAAUGAUACGAGAGAAAGAUGUCAAGUCCUUGAAUAGGAAAGAGGGCUAGGGCCCUGUGUACAGGUGGCAGAUGCCCUGGACCAAGGCUGUGGCAGGCCAUCCCUUGCAGCAGGAAGAAAUGCAGAGGAUAAAAAUACAGCCACAAGAAACAUUCCUGAAUGCUUAGGGAAAUUGCUUUCCUCUUAAAAAUUUCCAAAAAUUCAUCUUAAGCACCUAUUAAAUGGCUCUUCUGGAGCUGAAGGUUUUGUGCUGCCUGCCAAGCAAUGAUUUGGGGUUCACAGCCAAUCCCAGGGGAGUAAAAGCAGGGACAGGAGGUCAGAGAACACAUUCUCUUCCAUCUGUGCAUGCCUUCAAUAAACGUUGGAUUGACUGGAAUUAUGAGAAACUAAAAUCAUUUGUUGAAGAUCUGCUUAAAAGAUAUUUACAGAUGGUGCAGAAAACCAUUAUCCUGAGGAAGGAAUUACAACCUCCACAGACAGUAUUGGGACUGUCCUAAGAAGAUCGGUCUGAAGGCGGGAACCCUGUCCUGAUGGGAUGCUUCACUACUGAGAACUGGGACGGGUCCAUUGACUCUGUGUCUGUUCAAUGACAUGACCAUUUCUUAGGCGGCAAGUUCCCUGAAGGAAGUGGUCGUGUCUUAGUCAAUAUUCAGUGGCUUCCCCCACCACUCCAGAAGCUCAGUCAAGGAGUGGCAGCACAAAGAACAACAGGGCCUGCAGCUCACAGUUGUUAAAGAUGGAGAGCAGAUCUCCCAGAGAGAAAAGGAGACCCUCUUCACAUCAUGUUCUCUCAUUGGCUUCUUCCUGAAGUCUGAGGCCUGAACCCCCAAAUACUGCUAAUAAAAAGAUUUUUUAAAAUUUAAAUUUUAGAAUCAGGGGGUACAUGUGCAGGUUUGUUACAAGGGUCUGUUGCGUGAUGCUGGGGUUUCGGUUUGUAUUGAUCCUAUCACCCAGAUAGUGAACAGAGUACCUAACAGGAAGAUUUUCAGCCCUUGUUCUCCUCCCUCUCUCCUCCUUUUGGAGUCCCCAGUGUCUAUGGAAGGGUAUUUCCUAGGUUUUCUUCUAGGAUUUCAAAGCUUGAGGUCUUACAUUUAAAGCUUUAAUCCACCCUGAGUUAAUUUGCGUAUAUGGUGAUAGGUAGGGGUCCAGUUUCAUUCUUCUGCGUAUGGCUAG